rnacentral:tRNA from 1 species
GCUGGGGUGAGCUUAGUGGUAGAGCAUGCACCUUGCAAGUGUGAGGCCCUGGGUUCCAUCCCCCAGCCUCCCCC